GGUUUUGGUCCCGCUAUCCGGAGGUUUGAAUCCUUCCGUCCCAG
rnacentral:tRNA from 3 species